AUGGCGUGGCUCCUGCUUCUCUUUGCCCUUCUCAGCUACUGCUCAGGUGUCAUUUCACAGACUAUAACUCAGCCAGCCUCUGAGUCUGUGUCCCUGGGCCAAACCAUGAAGCUCUCCUGCUCUAGAAGUAGUGGUGGUAGCUGGAGCAGCUUUGGCUGGUAUCAACAGAAACCUGGACAGGCUCCUCGCUUUGUGUGGUUUGGCUCCAGCACCAGGGGAGAAGGGAUCCCAGAUCGGUUCACUGGUUCAGCCUCUGGGAACAAUGGCUAUUUAACCAUCUCCAACACUCAGGCUGAAGAUGAGGCAGUUUAUCACUGUGGUGCCUGGGAGAGGACUGGUAGCUGGAAGUAUCACCGUGAUACAAUCUGA